rnacentral:rRNA from 1 species
UCGUAACCAAGGUUUCCGUAGGUGAACCUGCGGAAGGAUCAUUG